rnacentral:sRNA from 1 species
GUUCUCUCUGGUCAGUUGCUCAGUUCUACUGGGACCUGGAGGAGGAAGGCAGGGGCCAAAGAGGAAUUUGUCCCCCCUUGGGGGCCCUGGGGCUCCCGGGGUCCGGAUUUUGAUACUCUGAAGCAGGAACCUUUGAUUCCCAUGGCAAACCCUGUUCCUGUUCAGAGGAGCCACCUCCAGGGUCCCAUUCUCAGGCUGCGCUACAUGGUGAAGCAGUUGGAGAAUGGGGAGAUAAACAUUGAGGAGCUGAAGAAAAAUCUGGAGUACACAGCUUCUCUGCUGGAAGCCGUCUACAUAGAUGAGACACGGCCCGGGCCAAAGGCCGCCGAGCAGAGGAGAAGCCCAAGUUCCGAAGCAUUGUGCACGCUGUGCAGGCUGGGAUCUUCGUGGAACGGAUGUUCCGGAGAACAUACACCUCUGUGGGCCCCACUUACUCUACUGCGGUUCUCAACUGUCUCAAGAACCUGGAUCUCUGGUGCUUUGAUGUCUUUUCCUUGAACCGGGCAGCAGAUGACCAUGCCCUGAGGACCAUUGUUUUUGAGUUGCUGACUCGGCAUAACCUCAUCAGCCGCUUCAAGAUUCCCACUGUGUUUUUGAUGAGUUUCCUGGAUGCCUUGGAGACAGGCUAUGGGAAGUACAAGAAUCCUUACCACAACCAGAUCCACGCAGCCGAUGUUACCCAGACAGUCCAUUGCUUCUUGCUCCGCACAGGGAUGGUGCACUGCCUGUCGGAGAUUGAGCUCCUGGCCAUCAUCUUUGCUGCAGCUAUCCAUGAUUAUGAGCACACGGGCACUACCAACAGCUUCCACAUCCAGACCAAGUCGGAAUGUGCCAUCCUGUACAAUGAUCGUUCAGUGCUGGAGAAUCACCACAUCAGCUCUGUUUUCCGACUGAUGCAGGAUGAUGAGAUGAACAUUUUCAUCAACCUCACCAAGGAUGAGUUUGUAGAACUCCGAGCCCUGGUCAUUGAGAUGGUGUUGGCCACAGACAUGUCCUGCCAUUUCCAGCAAGUGAAGACCAUGAAGACAGCCUUGCAACAGCUGGAGAGGAUUGACAAGCCCAAGGCCCUGUCUCUACUGCUCCAUGCUGCUGACAUCAGCCACCCAACCAAGCAGUGGUUGGUCCACAGCCGUUGGACCAAGGCCCUCAUGGAGGAAUUCUUCCGUCAGGGUGACAAGGAGGCAGAGUUGGGCCUGCCCUUUUCUCCACUCUGUGACCGCACUUCCACUCUAGUGGCACAGUCUCAGAUAGGGUUCAUCGACUUCAUUGUGGAGCCCACAUUCUCUGUGCUGACUGAUGUGGCAGAGAAGAGUGUUCAGCCCCUGGCGGAUGAGGACUCCAAGUCUAAAAACCAGCCCAGCUUUCAGUGGCGCCAGCCCUCUCUGGAUGUGGAAGUGGGAGACCCCAACCCAGAUGUGGUCAGCUUUCGUUCCACCUGGGUCAAGCGCAUUCAGGAGAACAAGCAGAAAUGGAAGGAACGGGCAGCAAGUGGCAUCGCCAACCAGAUGUCCAUUGACGAGCUGUCCCCCUGUGAAGAAGAGGCCCCCCCAUCCCCUGCCGAAGAUGAACACAACCAGAAUGGGAAUCUGGAUUAGCCCUGGGGCUGGCCCAGGUCUUCAUUGAGUCCAAAGUGUUUGAUGUCAUCAGCACCAUCCAUCAGGACUGGCUCCCCCAUCUGCUCCAAGGGAGCGUGGUCGUGGAAGAAACAACCCACCUGAAGGCCAAAUGCCAGAGAUUUGGGGUUGGGGAAAGGGCCCCUCCCCACCUGACACCCACUGGGGUGCACUUUAAUGUUCCGGCAGCAAGACUGGGGAACUUCAGGCUCCCAGUGGUCACUGUGCCCAUCCCUCAGCCUCUGGAUUCUCUUCAUGGCCAGGCGGCUGCCAGGGAGCAGGGAGCUUCCUGGAGGCGUCCCAGGGCCUUGGGGAAGGAUCAGAGAUGCCAGCCCCCUGGGACCUCCCCCAUCCUUUUUGCCUCCAAGUUUCUAAGCAAUACAUUUUGGGGGUUCCCUCAGCCCCCCACCCCAGAUCUUAGCUGGCAGGUCUGGGUCCCCCUUUUCCUCCCCUGGGAAGGGCUGGAAUAGGAUAGAAAGCUGGGGGUAUUCAGAGCCCUAUGUGUGGGGAGGGGAGUGGGUUCCUUCAGGGCAUGGUACCUUUCUAGGACCUGGGAAUGGGGUGGAUAGGACAUCCUCUUCACCCCAGAAUUGCGCUGCUUCAGCCCCAUCUCCAGCCUGAUCCUCUGCAAUCUUCCUUCUCUCCCUUUCUGAUAUAGUGACCGGGGCAAAAGGAGCCAUUGUGACCAGGGGCUGCGGGAGGCCUUUCCUGGGACCUUCCUUGGGACUGGUCUGGGCCCCUGGGGCUUGUCGCCUGCCCUGGCUGAGUCCCGAGCCCUUUGCCUCCUUCCUCUCCCCUGGGGCUGGGAGGCUCCAUCCGACCAAUGUCUGUAAAGUGCUUUGAGGAUCUCCCCAGCAAAGCACCUUCAGAAUGUAUCGACACCAGCUGGGUUAGGGUCAAGGGUGCCUGGGGAGGGUGAGUAAUCCUGCAUUGCUAAAAGAGAGGGUCUGUCCCCUCCUUUCCACGUCCCAGAACUGGCCCAGCUGCAGGCACUAAGAAGCUCCUCCCCUGAGACAAGUGAGGGGUAGUGGGUGAAAGGCAGAUGGACAAGGGGCUCAGGGCUGCUGCCUUCCUGUCCUCUGGAGAGAACCCAGCCAGGCGCGGUGCCCCUUCCUCUCCUCAGGCUCCUCCUUGCCCCCACCUCGCCCCAGGAAAGGCCAAAGUCCAGGUGACUGCCCUCCUUCUUUCUUGUAAAUACCAACCAUGCAUUUGUACAGUGGGCCCUGUUCAUGCGAAAUCCACAUCCAUGGUCUCCUAGACCUGCUACCCUGGUACUUCCACCCUACCCCACCCCGAGAAGGGCAGAGACGCAUGUGACUCACCCCUGCCCUUGGUUUCCCAGACCCCUGCUAUAGCCAGAGAACAAUAAAGAAGGGAGACCAGG